rnacentral:rRNA from 1 species
GGCUGUAUGGACUACAGUCAUCCAUAAGUGAAUCCAUAGCUUAUGGAAGGGAACCCGGGGAACUGAAACAUCUAAGUACCCGGAGGAAGAGAAAGAAACAUCGAUUCCGUAAGUAGCGGCGAGCGAACGCGGAAGAGCCCAAACCGUGAUGCGUGCAUCGCGGGGUUCGGACUGCAUAAGGGAUUCAGUAACGGCAGGAGAACGGCUUUGGAACAGCCGGCCAGAGAGGGUGAGAGCCCCGUAUCCGAAGCCAGAGCUGACCCGGCAGGAUCCAGAGUACCACGGGACACGGGAAACCCUGUGGGAACGAGCGGAGACCACUCCGUAAGGCUAAAUACUACUCAGUGACCGAUAGCGUAUAGUACUGUGAAGGAAAGGUGAAAAGAACCCCGGGAGGGGAGUGAAAGAGAACCUGAAACCCUGUGUCUACAAGCUGUGGAAGUGCUUUAUAUGCACGACCGCGUACUUUUUGUAGAACGGUCCGGCGAGUUACGCUUACUGGCAAGGUUAAGCACUUCAGGUGCGGAGCCGUAGGGAAACCAAGUCUUAAGAGGGCGUUUUAGUCAGUACGUGCAGGCCCGAAACCGGGUGACCUAUCCAUGUCCAGGUUGAAGCCGCCGUAAAAGGCGAUGGAGGACCGAACCCACAUCCGUUGAAAAGGGUGGGGAUGAGGUGUGGAUAGCGGAGAAAUUCCAAUCGAACCCGGAGAUAGCUGGUUCUCCUCGAAAUAGUUUUAGGGCUAGCCUCAUACAAGUCUGCCGGAGGUAGAGCACUGAAUUUCCGCGGGGGCGUCAAAGCCUACCAAAGAAUAUCAAACUCCGAAUGCCGGACAGAUGGUGUAUGGGAGUCAGACUGUACGAGAUAAGUUGGACAGUCAAAAGGGAAAGAGCCCAGACCGCCGGCUAAGGUCCCAAAGUGGGUGUUAAGUGGAAAAGGAUGUGGGAUCUCUAAGACAACCAGGAUGUUGGCUCAGAAGCAGCCAUUCAUUAAAAGAGUGCGUAACAGCUCACUGGUCGAGAGGUCCUGCGCCGAAAAUGUCCGGGGCUGAAACACCACACCGAAGCCGCGGAACCCGUAAGGGUUGGUAGAGGAGCAUUCUUAGGGGAGCGAAGCAUUACCGGAAGGGGAUGUGGACCGCUAAGAAGAGAGAAUGCCGGAAUGAGUAGCGAGAGCAAGGUGAGAAUCCUUGCGGCCGAAUAUCCAAGGUUUCCAGAGUAAAGCUGAUCUGCUCUGGGUAAGUCGGGGCCUAAGGAGAGGCAGAGAUGCGUAUCCGAUGGACAGCAGGUUUAAGAUUCCUGCACCCCUUGUUAUCAGAACUGCGGGGACACGGGAAGGGAAGCAGAGCCGGGAAUGGAAAGCCCGGUGCAAGCGAAGUAGUCGCAGGGCUGGAAAAUCCGCCCUGCAUGAGACGAAGGCGUGAUGCGGAGCGAAAUGAAGUAGUGAAGCUGCGGCCCCUUCCUGUCGAGAAAAGCCGCUAUCGUGUAGCAAGGGCCCGUACCGUAAACCGACACAGGUGGAUGAGGAGAGGAUCCUAAGGCCGGCGGGAGAAGUGUUGUUAAGGAACUCGGCAAAAUGACUCCGUAACUUCGGGAGAAGGAGUGCUGCGCAAGCAGCCGCAGAGAAAUGGCCCAAGCAACUGUUUAGCAAAAACACAGGUCUAUGCGAAACCGAAAGGUGAGGUAUAUGGGCUGACGCCUGCCCGGUGCUGGAAGGUUAAGGGGAGAGCUUAGCGCGAGCGAAGGUUUGAACUUAAGCCCCAGUAAACGGCGGCCGUAACUAUAACGGUCCUAAGGUAGCGAAAUUCCUUGUCGGGUAAGUUCCGACCCGCACGAAAGGCGUAAUGAUUUGGGCACUGUCUCAACAACACACCCGGUGAAAUUGAAAUACCAGUGAAGAUGCUGGUUACCCGCGCCAGGACGGAAAGACCCCAUGGAGCUUUACUCCAGCCUGAUACUGGGAUUCGGUAUUGCAUGUACAGGAUAGGUGGGAGGCUAAGAACUCAUGGCGCCAGCCGUGAGGGAGCCGAUGUUGGGAUACCACCCCUGCAGUACUGGGUUUCUAACCUGCGCCCGUGACCCGGGCGGGGGACAAUGUCAGGCGGGGAGUUUGACUGGGGCGGUCGCCUCCGAAAGGGUAUCGGAGGCGCUCAAAGGUUCCCUCAGAAUGGU